AUUGAACGCUGGCGGCAGGCCUAACACAUGCAAGUCGAACGGUAACAGGAAGAAGCUUGCUUCUUUGCUGACGAGUGGCGGACGGGUGAGUAAUGUCUGGGAAACUGCCUGAUGGAGGGGGAUAACUACUGGAAACGGUAGCUAAUACCGCAUAACGUCGCAAGACCAAAGAGGGGGACCUUCGGGCCUCUUGCCAUCGGAUGUGCCCAGAUGGGAUUAGCUAGUAGGUGGGGUAACGGCUCACCUAGGCGACGAUCCCUAGCUGGUCUGAGAGGAUGACCAGCCACACUGGAACUGAGACACGGUCCAGACUCCUACGGGAGGCAGCAGUGGGGAAUAUUGCACAAUGGGCGCAAGCCUGAUGCAGCCAUGCCGCGUGUAUGAAGAAGGCCUUCGGGUUGUAAAGUACUUUCAGCGGGGAGGAAGGGAGUAAAGUUAAUACCUUUGCUCAUUGACGUUACCCGCAGAAGAAGCACCGGCUAACUCCGUGCCAGCAGCCGCGGUAAUACGGAGGGUGCAAGCGUUAAUCGGAAUUACUGGGCGUAAAGCGCACGCAGGCGGUUUGUUAAGUCAGAUGUGAAAUCCCCGGGCUCAACCUGGGAACUGCAUCUGAUACUGGCAAGCUUGAGUCUCGUAGAGGGGGGUAGAAUUCCAGGUGUAGCGGUGAAAUGCGUAGAGAUCUGGAGGAAUACCGGUGGCGAA
rnacentral:rRNA from 2 species